AUUGAACGCUGGCGGCAUGCCUUACACAUGCAAGUCGAACGGUAACAGGUCUUCGGAUGCUGACGAGUGGCGAACGGGUGAGUAAUACAUCGGAACGUGCCCGAUCGUGGGGGAUAACGCGGCGAAAGCUGUGCUAAUACCGCAUACGAUCUACGGAUGAAAGCGGGGGAUCGCAAGACCUCGCGCGGACGGAGCGGCCGAUGGCAGAUUAGGUAGUUGGUGGGAUAAAAGCUUACCAAGCCGACGAUCUGUAGCUGGUCUGAGAGGACGACCAGCCACACUGGGACUGAGACACGGCCCAGACUCCUACGGGAGGCAGCAGUGGGGAAUUUUGGACAAUGGGCGCAAGCCUGAUCCAGCCAUGCCGCGUGCAGGAUGAAGGCCUUCGGGUUGUAAACUGCUUUUGUACGGAACGAAAAGCUCUCUCUAAUACAGGGGUGAAUGACGGUACCGUAAGAAUAAGCAACCGGCUAACUACGUGCCAGCAGCCGG
rnacentral:rRNA from 1 species